AGCGUAGGCGGCGUGGUAAGUCAGAUGUGAAAUCCCGGGGCUCAACCCCGGAACUGCAUCCGAUACUGCCGUGCUAGAGGAUUGGAGAGGUAGCUGGAAUUCACGGUGUAGCAGUGAAAUGCGUAGAUAUCGUGAGGAACGCUCGUGGCGAAAGCGAGCUACUGGACAACUCCUGACGCUGAGGCUCGAAGGCCAGGGUAGCGAAAG
rnacentral:rRNA from 1 species